CCUAAUAUUUCUGUUUAAAAGACUUCUCCCACAGGGAGUGUGGACUGCUCAGCCAUCUCCCAGCCUGUAAAGGAAGGCUGUUCUAUCUGGAGUGAGGUGCUUGCAGACUUGUAACUGCAUUGACUGGAAGGUGUUGAUGUGGAGCGGAAAGUUGGGUUGCUCUCCUGCACUGUUCGAUGUCCACAUGCUUGUUUCAGCAUGCCUUGGCCAGCAUCCGCUUCGGAGCACAAAGAAUUCUACAAGCAUUUCCCACGGAAGACCAUGAUCGCUCGCACAACCCGUGGCAUGACUGAUCUUGCAACCGGUGGGAGACCGGGCACAUAAAGGGGAGCCUGCCGGACCAAUGGAAACACUGGUGUAGUUGUAUAAAUGGAGAACUGACCAUUACAAAAAAAGGCCUACCAGCAUGGAAAACUUCACAUGCCAAGGGUGGGCUCUGUGCCAAAGGAUGACUGCUCAACAGAGGUCUCCGGAGCGCCGAUGGAGAGCCACUUCUCUCGCUCGUGGGUGUGUCGAAAAUGGCAUUCUUGGGACGCGUCCAAGAAAUGACUUGAAGGGCUCAGAGGAAAAUCAUAAGAAGCCCGCACGGAGACUAGAAAGAGGCCAGCGUGUGUGGCUUUGCUUUUCAAACAACCGCUUUGAAGGCAGAUUUUGUUUUCCAUGUGGGAAAAUAAAGCACUGCAUAAACAGCAUCCAAUAGCAGGAGUGGGCAAAGUCUUAUCUUGGGACUGUAAGUGUUCCCCCCACCCACCCCGGCUGUUUCUGGGAGUUGCAGCCCUCUCUUUUCAUGACAAGAAAUUGAGGAAAAUGCUGGAAAGUGCUGACUAACCAGGGACUGAUCAAAGGAGUUCUGACGAGAGUAUUUUGCCUAAGAACCAUCACACACAUCUAUAAAGGUACUGGAGUUUUCACAACCUCGCAUGCUGCUUUUAGUAGGCUUGAUGGGAGGGACCUUUCUGGGCUGGAGUGACUGUCAAUCUAUCCAAGAGUAACCAAUCAUUCAUUCCCCUGCCUCUAAAUUCAAAGAGAGAUCCACCUCUCUCUUUUUGAGCUUUUUGCCUCUCAGUAGUCUGUUGGAAGAAGUCUUAGGCUGCUGAGGCCUGCUGCUGCAAGCAGCCAUGUUUUGAGCCUGCUGUUACCUGUUCACUGGAAGUAAAUGAAACUUUUAAUUUUUUUUCUCUUACUAAUGUUUCAGGGUGAGUUACUGAGACUGUAAGUGCCAGUUAAUAAUAAUAAAAAGAGAUGGUCUACUCUGGGAGAGUGGAAC
rnacentral:lncRNA from 1 species